GUGACAGCCAUCUUAGCUUCUCUUCUCGCCUCCCUGUAUACCAACCUGUUCGCUCUCCGCUCCUCCUCGCUUGAGCUCCCGGCCAACCUAGCAAACGCCGCCUUCUUCACCUCCACUUUUCCCUUGACUACCUCAUUCCACCACCAAUCACCCUGAUGUCUGCCUGAAUAUCCCUUAGCUACCCCGAGCACGUCCCGUGCGGCCCCCCUAACCAAAUUCGCCGUCACUGUCCAAAUAGCAAAACACUAAUCACCUAUGAGCCCCUAACCUACAACCUUGAUUCUAGACCUCCAGACUCCCCU
rnacentral:lncRNA from 1 species